UAAAUCAAUUUGACAUCAAAAUUAUUUCGAUACCUGUAAAAUAUCGGCGUUCGUGUUCAUUUGAAAAUCGCUCGUGCAAGAAUUGAAUUUGCCUAAUAGUUGUCAAGACAAGAUAAUGUACAGCUCGCUUUACAAGUUUAGAGGCAGUUAUGAUCUAAAGUAUGUUUCAAUGCGUAAAAAUUGUGAUAAUAUUAUCACUACACCUUGCUAUAGCAUUUGGAUAUGGUAUUCAUCAGUACGUAUGGUUGUUAUUGUCAUAACAUGCAGGGGCGGAUCUAGGAUUGGUUUAUUAACUUCGCCUAUUUCUUUAGUAAGCUUGCAAUUUCGUAUCAUAAUGAAAUGUGACCAG